rnacentral:rRNA from 1 species
UGUGAGAAUGCCGGAAUGAGUAGCGCGAAUGCAGUGAGAAUCUGCAUGGCCGAAAGCCUCAGGUUUUUGGAGGAAGGUUCGUCCGCUCCAAGUUAGUCGGGAGCUAAGGUGAGGCCGAAAGGCGUAGCCGAUGCACAGACGGUAGAGAUUCCGUCACCACCAAAAGAGUUAAGCACAGGGACACAUUUGAAGUCUCAGAGCCGGGUGUUGGUUCCGGUAGAGAUCGAGGGAAGUUAGUACCAAAGUCUGGGAUGGAAGAUGGCGAGAAAAGCUGUGUGUAUUUCUGAGGUGCCCGUACCGCAAACCGACACAGGUAGGUAGGAAGAAGAUUCUAAGGCCAACGGGAGAAGGGUUGUUAAGGAACUCGGCAAAUUGACCCCGUAACUUCGGGAGAAGGGGUGCUCCAGAGAUGGAGCCGCAGAGAAUCGGCCCAAGCAACUGUUUACCAAAAACACAGGUUUGUGCUAAAUCGAAAGAUGACGUAUACGAGCUGACGCCUGCCCGGUGCUGGAAGGUUAAGAGGAGAUGUGCAAGCAUUGAAUCGAAGCCCCAGUGAACGGCGGCCGUAACUAUAACGGUCCUAAGGUAGCGAAAUUCCUUGUCAGGUAAGUUCUGACCCGCAUGAAAGGCGUAAUGAUUUGGGCACUGUCUCAACAGCCCGCCCGGCGAAAUUGUAGUACCGGUGAAGAUGCCGGUUACCCGCGACAAGACGGAAAGACCCCAUGGAGCUUUACUGUAGCCUAAUAUUGGGUUUCGAUGUUGCAUGCACAGGAUAGAUGGGACACAGGGAAACAAUCGCUUUGGCGGUUGCGGAGUGGCCGUUGGGAUACCAUCCUUGCGAUAUUGGAAUUCUAACCUGCGGCUCUGAAUCGAGUCGGGGGACAUUGUUAGGUGGGCAGUUUGACUGGGGCGGUCGCCUCCUAAAAAGUAACGGAGGCGUUCAAAGGUUCGCUCAGCUUGAACGGAAAUCAAGCAAAAGAGUGCAAACGCAGAAGCGAGCCUAACUGCGAGACUGACGGGUCGAGCAGUAACGAAAGUUGGAGUUAGUGAUCCGGUGGUAUGUGAGUGGAAAUGCCAUCGCUCAACGGAUAAAAGUUACCCUGGGGAUAACAGGCUGAUCUCCCCCAAGAGUCCACAUCGACGGGGAGGUUUGGCACCUCGAUGUCGGCUCAUCGCAUCCUGGGGCUGUAUUCGGUCCCAAGGGUUUGGCUGUUCGCCAAUUAAAGCGGUACGCGAGCUGGGUUCAGAACGUCGUGAGACAGUUCGGUCCCUAUCUGUCGUGGGCGCAGGAUAUUUGAUGGGAGCUGUCCCUAGUACGAGAGGACCGGGACGGACGUACCUCUGGCGCACCAGUUGUUCCGCCAGGAGCAUAGCUGGGCAACUACGUACGGAUCGGAUAAACGCUGAAAGCAUCUAAGCGUGAAGCCGACCCAAAGAUAAGAUAUCCCACUGAUUCAAUCAGGUAAGAUCCCUUGAAGACUACAAGGUUGAUAGGCACGAUGUGUAAGUGGAGUGAUCCACUCAGCAAGAGUGUACUAAUAGAUCGAGGGCUUGACCG